AAGUCGUAACAAGGUUUCCGUAGGUGAACCUGCGGAAGGAUCAUUAACACAAGUAAAAAAACAUUUUACAACACCCUAUUAUGAAUUUAAAUUUUUUAAUUUUAAUUUUAAUUUUUUUAUAAAACUACAAAAAAAAUAUUUAAUUUAUUUGACUAACAUUUUUUUAAUUAAUUUAUUUAAAAUUUUAUAAAACAACUCUUAACAACGGAUAUCUUGGCUCUC
rnacentral:misc_RNA from 1 species